GUUUUGGACCUUUCACAUUUUGGACGGAUAAGAGUCAGUGGAGAUGAUCGCAUUCAGUUUCUUCACAACCAAAGCACUGCAAAUUUUGAAUGUCUUCUUGAAGGACAGGUUUUGUUCGGUUCAAAUCCAUAGGGAUGUGAUACUGUUUUUGUUACACCAACGGCUCGGACAAUAGACAUUGCCUAUGCAUGGAUCAUGAAAAAUUCAAUUAUGUUGGUGGUCUCACCAGUAACCUGUGGCAGCAUAAUUCAAAUGCUGAAUAA
rnacentral:misc_RNA from 1 species